GUGUGAUACACAGGGUGAUCGCCGGCGAUUAUCCACGAAGACUUCCAGUAAAAAUUCCAUCGCGGACUUGUUGUUCGGUCGUCGCAGAACCGCGGUAUCAUAUUAUUUGCAGUAAUUUCGCUAUAACUUCGCCCCCGGUCCGUUAAACACGCGGACGCAUAUUAAAUAUACAUACGUAAACAUACAUCUGCAAUCGUUAUCGAUUUCGAAACAACAAUAACCCACUUGUUUUACAGACACCGACUCGGAAAGAGUGCACGCAAAUGGACACGAUUGUACAUCGCACUAUCACCGUUUUACUAAUAAUGCGCAUUGCACUCCUCCGGAAAAUGUCGUCAUGACUCAUACACGCAAUGCCCGGUAUGGCUGUUGUCGUAAU